CCUACGGGCGGCAGCAGUGGGGAAUAUUGCACAAUGGGGGAAACCCUGAUGCAGCGACGCCGCGUGAGUGAAGAAGUAUCUCGGUACGUAAAGCUCUAUCAGCAGGGAAGAAAAUGACGGUACCUGACUAAGAAGCCCGGGCUAACUACGUGCCAGCAGCCGCGGUAAUACGUAGGGGGCAAGCGUUAUCCGGAUGUACUGGGUGUAAAGGGAGCGUAGACGGCAGCACAAGUCUGGAGUGAAAUCCCGGGGCUUAACCCCGGAACUGCUUUGGAAACUGUGCGGCUGGAGUGCAGGAGGGGUAAGCGGAAUUCCUGGGGGAGCGGUGAAAUGCGUAGAUAGUAGGAGGAACACCGGUGGCGAAGGCGGCUUACUGGACUGUAACUGACGUUGAGGCUCGAAAGCGUGGGGAGCAAACAGGAUUAGAUACCCGUGUAGUC
rnacentral:rRNA from 1 species